rnacentral:lncRNA from 1 species
UAGUUAACAAGUUGCCAAGGAACGUCCUUAGGGUUUUUUACUUUUCAACUGUUAACUGCAUCAAGACUUAGAGAAACCUAAUUCUAACCUUGCCAACCGCGUGGUCAAGUUUAGAUUAUGCAACCAAGUGUGUUUGUGUUCAAACAAUCUAAGCAAUUACGGACCUAAAUUAUUUAAACUAACAAUUUAUCACUUAUGCAAUUAAAAGCAACAGGCC